rnacentral:lncRNA from 1 species
CAAGCAUAUUUCCCAUCAUAGACCAAGGUGCUGAUUACAGGCAGGAACGAAAGGAGGCUGGCCCUCAGCCCUCUUAGACAGCAGAACCCCGGAAAGGCCAAGUUUGCUUUGCACAGUUGGGAAUUGCUUACUGGAGCUUCUGCUUCCUUCAGGCUUCACAGUACAAAGAGUUUGGAUGUCAUCCUGAUGUUACGAAAGCCGCUCAGGUUAUGAUCUUGAUUAACACAAUGGCCAUGAGAGACAAACAGAGGAGAGAAAUUUGUACCAAUCAGAAAAGAACACCAAGCCCAAGAGAGGCGAAUAACUUUCUUCAAAGCGUGAGUCAGACGCAAUUAGGAUAAGAACUCUGGUUUUUUCACUUCAAUCUCCCUCUUCUUAAACUCACACUGUAUAAACUCCAAAAGAAUUAAUGUGUUUCUUUUUCUUUUGUGGGACAUUCACAGUGACAGCAGUCUACAAAAUAACUUGAUAGGAUGGAAAAUUGACAACAACAAACCCAGGUCAGUCAUGUGAAUUUGAGUGAUAUCUUCAGAGUGGCCGUAGGUAGGUGCCAUAUUAGAGGCAGGUGCACCAUUUCUUGGUAAAUACAAUAGUCCCUGUCUUUUUCCAGCAUUGAAGCAUGUAGCUAUUUCUUUAGUUGAAUACCAGAUGAAGUGGUCAGCUUGCGGGUAGGGUCAUAUUGUAAAAGGCAUAUCUUUGCUCACUAGAUUUUCAUCCAAGUGGUAAGAAGUUCACAUUAAAUUAUGAGAACUUAAGGGAACUAAGACCAGACUGAGGGACAGCAGAGUCACGGCUCCCACCUCAAACACACUCUGAGGCAUCUGUCCAUGGAGGGCAACAGCUGGGUGGAUCGCCCAAGCUACUUAAAUGGUUAGUUCUUUUUCUUACUUUUUUGUUUGCCAAACAUAUGUGGUUAAAUUGCAGACGUUAAAUGCCUGUGUGCUGAGAUUUCACUAUAUCUGAUUACAUAGUCUUUCUUUAACCCUUUCUACUUUGUGAUUGCCAGCAUCUCAACAUCUCCUAACUACAGCAGAUGAAGAUGACUUUGAGUUCACUAUUGACACGGGUAGGUAUCCCAUUUUUAGAUAGCGACAUAGUUAUUUCCCCAAAUUUGAAGAAAGCAAGCUGCUGGUAAGAAAACGACAUAACUAAUUUUAUUUCUUUCAUGAAAAUAACAGGUUGCUUCCUUGUUAGUUAAACAUUUUCAGUAACUUGUCAAAAAAAUUACAGUAUUUUUCCCUCUCAUCCAACAGAUUUUUACACACUACAGUUACAAACAAAGGCUCAGUUUUACCCGCAGAAGCUCAUGCAGUUGUUGGUGUAUCUUUUAAGUGUAUUUUC